GACGAACGCUGGCGGCGUGCUUAACACAUGCAAGUCGAACGGUAAGGCCUCUUCGGGGGUACACGAGUGGCGAACGGGUGAGUAACACGUGAGUAACCUGCCCUUGACUUUGGGAUACCAUCUGGAAACAGGUGCUAAUACCGGAUAUGAGCUCUUUCUGCAUGGGGAGGGUUGGAAAGCUCCGGCGGUCAUGGAUGGACUCGCGGCCUAUCAGCUUGUUGGUGAGGUAGUGGCUCGCCAAGGCUCCGACGGGUAGCCGGCCUGAGAGGGCGACGGGGCGCAUUGGGACUGGGAUACGGCCGAGACUCGUGCGGGAGGAAGAGGUGGGGAAGAGUGCACACUGGGCGGAGGCCUGAUGCAGCAGCGCCGCGUGCGGGAUGACGGCCUGCGGGUUGUAAACCGCUCUCAGCAGGGACGAAGCUAACGUGGCGGUACCUGCAGAAGAAGCACCGGCUAACUACGUGCCAGCCGCCGCCGUAAAAC
rnacentral:rRNA from 1 species